GACAAACUAGUCAUGAUAUAAGACGAUGCCCAAGAAUGGCGAACACAUCGACAUCCCCGUCAAACAAUGAAGAAUCAACUCCAAUCAAUCUUAGUGACCCGUUAUUCGAUGAAUUUGAUAGCAUGCAUGGACCUACCAAGUGAUUUAUGUUUUUACUAUACGAAGCUCAUUUGCCGUCAAUAUUGUUGGACCUAGAUUUUUGGCUUAUGGAAGAUUGUUGUCGUUGAGAACCUUCAUCAAUUUGGCUUUUUUUUUAAUGACAGUUGGACCUAUCAACUCUUAAUUUUGA